ACUCCUACGGGAGGCAGCAGUGGGGAAUUUUGGACAAUGGGGGCAACCCUGAUCAGCCAUGCCGCGUGAGUGAAGAAGGCCUUCGGGUUGUAAAGCUCUUUCGGCCGGGAAGAAAUCGUGUUCUCUAACAUAGGACAUGGAUGACGGUACCGGACUAAGAAGCACCGGCUAACUACGUGCCAGCAGCCGCGGUAAUACGUAGGGUGCGAGCGUUAAUCGGAAUUACUGGGCGUAAAGCGUGCGCAGGCGGUUUUGUAAGACAGAUGUGAAAUCCCCGGGCUUAACCUGGGAACUGCGUUUGUGACUGCAAGGCUAGAGUACGGCAGAGGGGGGUGGAAUUCCUGGUGUAGCAGUGAAAUGCGUAGAUAUCAGGAGGAACACCGAUGGCGAAGGCAGCCCCCUGGGCCUGUACUGACGCUCAUGCACGAAAGCGUGGGGAGCAAACAGGAUUAGAUACCCUGGUAGUC
rnacentral:rRNA from 1 species